GCCCGGGUAGCUCAAUCGGUAGAGCGUGUGGCUCUUAAGAAGAGAUCAACCUCAAGGUCGUGGGUUCGAGCCCCACCUCGGGCU